AGAGUUUGAUUCUGGCUCAGAACGAACGCUGGCAGCGUGGAUUAGGCAUGCAAGUCGAACGGAAAGCCCUGAGAUCAAUCUUCGGAAAGUGAUCGGGGCCGAUAGUGGCGGAAGGGUGAGUAACACGUGAGCAAUCUAUCCAUAAGUUGGGGAUAACUCCGCGAAAGUGGAGCUAAUACCGGAUGUGGUACGCCGACGAGUGUUGGCGCAACCAAAGGUGGGGACCCCUCGGGGCCUAUCGCUUAAGGAGGAGCUCGCGUCCCAUCAGCUUGUUGGUAGGGUAAUGGCCUACCAAGGCAUACGGGUAGCCGGCCUGAGAGGGUGUUCGGCCACACUGGGACUGAGACACUGCCCAGACUCCUACGGGAGGCUGCAGUCGAGGAUCAUUCGCAAUGCGCGAAAGCGUGACGAUGCGACGCUGCGUGGAGGAUGACAGCCUUCGGGUUGUAAACUCCUGUCAUGAGGGAAAAGCCGGCGGAGGGUAAAUAACCUUUCGCCCCGAUGGUACCUCAAGAGGAAGCCACGGCUAACUCUGUGCCAGCAGCCGCGGUAAUACAGAGGUGGCGAGCGUUGUUCGGAUUUACUGGGCGUAAAGGGUGCGUAGGUGGACUGGUGUGUCGGAUGUGAAAUCCUGGGGCUCAACCCCAGAACGGCAUUCGAAACUACCAGACUAGAGUACAGGAUGGGAGAGCGGAAUUCUUGGUGUAGCGGUGAAAUGCGUUGAUAUCAAGAAGAACACCGGUGGCGAAGGCGGCUCUCUGGAAUGUUACUGACACUGAGGCACGAAAGCUGGGGGAGCAAACAGGAUUAGAUACCCUGGUAGUCCCAGCUGUAAACGGUGUACACUUGGCGUAGGGGGAAUUGACCCCCUCUGUGCCGAAGCUAACGCGAUAAGUGUACCGCCUGGGGAGUACGGCCGCAAGGUUAAAACUCAAAGAAAUUGACGGGGGCCCGCACAAGCGGAGGAGCAUGUGGCUUAAUUCGAUGCAACGCGAAGAACCUUACCUGGACUUGACAUCGGAGAGGCUUGCCUCUAACAUGUGAAAGCAUGUGAACCAGACAGGUGCUGCAUGGCUGUCGUCAGUUCGUGCCGUGAGGUGUUGGGUUAAGUCCCGCAACGAACGCAACCCCUGUGUUUAGUUGCCAACCUUGAGCAAUCGAGGCGCACUCUAGACAGACUGACCGUACAAGCGGUAGGAAGGUGGGGAUGACGUCAAGUCAGUAUGGCCCUUACGUCCAGGGCUGCACACGUGCUACAAUGGUCGGUACAGAGGGAAGCAAGACCGCGAGGUGGAGCAAAUCUCAUAAAAACCGGCCUCAGUUCGGAUUGGAGUCUGCAACUCGACUCCAUGAAGUUGGAUUCGCUAGUAACGGCGCUUCAGCUACGGCGCCGUGAAUACGUUCCCGGGCCUUGUACACACCGCCCGUCACAUCAUGAAAGCCGUCUGCACCCAAAGUCGCUGAGCUAACCUUUUACUAGGAAGCAGGCGCCCAAGGUGUGGGAGGUGAUUGGGAUGAAGUCGGAACAAGGUA
rnacentral:rRNA from 1 species